GGGGAUAUUAUUAUUAUAUCAUAAAUUUUAAUUAUAAAUUAAACGUGAGAUAUCUAUAGUAUGUCUGGAGAACACUUGGACCAAAAAAAGGGGGUUUAAUUAAUGUUAAAUGGGCUAAGUUAGGUUUUGUUUAUUUAUGCAAAUUUUUGGUUUUAUAGAAGUUGCGCGCAGUUAUUAGUAUUGCAUAUCCAGGGGAUUGGGAUGUGGAAAUAAUUUUUAAUACUGACAAAAUUUGUGCCAGCAGUCGCGGUUACACAAAUAGUGUGAUUUAGCUUUUUCGGCGUUACAGUUAAUUUAUAUGUGAGACUUGAAUAUUUUGGUUUCAAGGUGAAAUUUUUGACUUUAUAGUAGUGUUGUUUAAUUUAAUGAGGCUGGGAAACUUUUAUUUUAGACUAGGAUUAGAUACCCUAUUAUUAAAAGUGUUAAUUCAAAUUGCUUGAUUAGUAAGAGUUACGGUCUCUAAAAUUAAAUAUUUUGGCGGUAUUUUAAUCCUUCCAGAGGAACCUGUCCUGUAAUCGAUAGCCCACGAUUUGUUAUACUUUUCUAUGUGCUUGUAUAUCGUCGUUAUUAGGGAAUUUUCUUAAAAUUUAAAUUUUCGGAAUCUUUAAUUUGAAAGUAGAUCAGAUCAAGGUGCAGCAUGGUGAAGAAGAGAUGGGUUACAUUGCGGUUACGCUGGGAUCUAAGAUUUUAAAUUUUAGUGAAUAUGGAUUUGGUAGUAAUUUUUUCAGAUAGAAAUAUAGAAUAGGGCUCUAGAAUAAGCACAUAUCGCCCGUCGCUUUCGUUUCUUUUUUAUUACGAAAUAAGUCGUAACAUAGUAGGUUUACUGGAAAGUGGCCCUGGAAAGGC
rnacentral:ncRNA from 1 species